rnacentral:rRNA from 1 species
UACGUAGGGGGCAAGCGUUGUCCGGAAUCAUUGGGCGUAAAGAGCGUGUAGGCGGCCCGGUAAGUCCGCUGUGAAAGUCCAGGGCUCAACCCUGGGAUGCCGGUGGAUACUGUCGGGCUCGAGUUCGGUAGGGGAGACUGGAAUUCCUGGUGUAGCGGUGAAAUGCGCAGAUAUCAGGAGGAACACCGGUGGCGAAGGCGGGUCUCUGGGCCGAUACUGACGCUGAGGAGCGAAAGCGUGGGGAGCGAACAGG